rnacentral:misc_RNA from 1 species
AAGACUAUAGACCUGCGGAGUACCUGCGGAGGGAUCAUUACCGAGUGAGGGCCCUCCGGGUCCAACCUCCCACCCGUGUCUAUCGUACCUUGUUGCUUCGGCGGGCCCGCCAUACGGCCGCCGGGGGCUUCCUGCCCCCGCGCCCGCGCCCGUCGGAGACACCAUUGAACGCUGUCUGAAGAUUUGCAGUCUGAGCGAAUAGCGAAAUUAGUUAAAACUUUCAACAACGGAUCUCUAGAU